rnacentral:rRNA from 1 species
UACGUAGGGGGCAAGCGUUGUCCGGAUUUAUUGGGCGUAAAGAGCUCGUAGGCGGCCUGUCGCGUCGACCGUGAAAACCCGCAGCUCAACUGCGGGCUUGCGGUCGAUACGGGCAGGCUCGAGUUCGGUAGGGGAGACUGGAAUUCCUGGUGUAGCGGUGAAAUGCGCAGAUAUCAGGAGGAACACCGGUGGCGAAGGCGGGUCUCUGGGCCGAUACUGACGCUGAGGAGCGAAAGCGUGGGGAGCGAACAGG